AGAGCGAACGCUGGCGGCAGGCCUAAUACAUGCAAGUCGAACGCACCUUCGGGUGAGUGGCGGACGGGUGAGUAACACGUGGGAACGUGCCCUUUGGUUCGGAAUAAUCCGGGGAAACCUGGCCUAAUACCGGAUGUGCCCUUCGGGGGAAAGAUUUAUCGCCAUUGGAGCGGCCCGCGUCUGAUUAGCUUGUUGGUGGGGUAAUGGCCCACCAAGGCUACGAUCAGUAGCUGGUCUGAGAGGAUGAUCAGCCACACUGGGACUGAGACACGGCCCAGACUCCUACGGGAGGCAGCAGUAGGGAAUCUUGCGCAAUGGGCGAAAGCCUGACGCAGCCAUGCCGCGUGAAUGAUGAAGGUCUUAGGAUUGUAAAAUUCUUUCAGCGGGGAAGAUAAUGACUGUACCGCAGAAGAAGCUCCGGCUAACUUCGUGCCAGCAGCCGC
rnacentral:rRNA from 1 species